GACGAACGCUGGCGGCAUGCCUAAUACAUGCAAGUCGAGCGAACAGAUGAAGUGCUUGCACUUCUGACGUUAGCGGCGAACGGGUGAGUAACACGUAAGGAAUCUACCUAUAAGCGGGGGAUAACAUUCGGAAACGGGUGCUAAUACCGCAUAAUAUCUUCUUCCGCAUGGAAGGAGAUUGAAAGACGGCUCUGCUGUCACUUAUAGAUGACCUUGCGGUGCAUUAGUUAGUUGGUGGGGUAACGGCCUACCAAGACGAUGAUGCAUCGCGGACCUAAAAGGGUGAUCGGCCACAUUGGGACUGAGACACGGCCCAAACUCCUACGGGAGGCAGCAGUAGGUAAUCUUCCGCAAUGGGCGAAAGCCUGACGGAGCAAUGCCGCGUGAGUGAAGAAGGCCUUCGGGUCGUAAAACUCUGUUAUAAGAGAAGAACAAAUUGUAGAGUAACUGCUACAGUCUUGACGGUAUCUUAUCAGAAAGCCACGGCUAACUACGUGCCAGCCGCCGCAGUAA
rnacentral:rRNA from 1 species